UACGUAGGCAGCGAGCGUUGUUCGGAAUUACUGGGCGUAAAGAGUGUGUAGGCGGUGUUCCCAGUCUGUUGUGAAAUCUCCCGGCUUAACUGGGAGGGUGCAGCGGAAACUAGAAUGCUAGAGGGUGGGAGAGGUAAGCGGAAUUCCUGGUGUAGCGGUGAAAUGCGUAGAUAUCAGGAGGAACACCUGUGGUGUAGACAGCUUACUGGACCACUUCUGACGCUUAGACACGAAAGCGUGGGUAGCAAACAGG
rnacentral:rRNA from 1 species